rnacentral:sRNA from 1 species
CUGCAUGCAAGUAUUGCAAGAAAAACCAAUCAUUCUGAAGAUUGGUGUGUUGCAGAAGAUUCAGUGCAGA